rnacentral:rRNA from 1 species
AUACGUAGGUGGCAAGCGUUGUCCGGAAUUAUUGGGCGUAAAGCGCAUGUAGGCGGCGGUUUAAGUCUGUCGUGAAACUGCGGGGCUCAGCCCCGUAUGGCGAUGGAAACUGGACGGCUUGAGUGCAGGAGAGGAAAGGGGAACUCCCAGUGUAGCGGUGAAAUGCGUAGAUAUUGGGAAGAACACCGGUGGCGAAGGCGCCUUUCUGGACUGUGUCUGACGCUGAGAUGCGAAAGCCAGGGUAGCGAACGGGAUUAGAUACCCCGGUAGUCCUGGCCGUAAACGAUGGGUACUAGGUGUGGGAGGUAUCGACCCCUUCCGUGCCGGAGUUAACGCAGUAAGUACCCCGCCUGGGGAGUACGGCCGCAAGGCUUAAACUCAAAUGAAUUGACGGGG